rnacentral:rRNA from 1 species
UGGGGAAUUUUGGACAAUGGGGGAAACCCUGAUCCAGCCAUCCCGCGUGUGCGAUGAAGGCCUUCGGGUUGUAAAGCACUUUUGGCAGGAAAGAAACGUCGCGGGUUAAUACCCCGCGGAACUGACGGUACCUGCAGAAUAAGCACCGGCUAACUACGUGCCAGCAGCCGCGGCAAUACGUAGGGUGCAAGCGUUAAUCGGAAUUACUGGGCGUAAAGCGUGCGCAGGCGGUUCGGAAAGAAAGAUGUGAAAUCCCAGAGCUUAACUUUGGAACUGCAUUUUUAGCUACCGGGCUAGAGUGUGUCAGAGGGAGGUGGAAUUCCGCGUGUAGCAGUGAAAUGCGUAGAUAUGCGGAGGAACACCGAUGGCGAAGGCAGCCUCCUGGGAUAACACUGACGCUCAUGCACGAAAAGCGUGGGGGAGCAAAACAGGAUUAGAUACCCUGGUAGUCCACGCCCUAAACGAUGUCAACUAGCUGUUGGGGUCUUCGGACCUUGGUAGCGUAGCUAACGCGUGAAGUUGACCGCCUGGGGAGUACGGUCGCAAGAUUAAAACUCAAAUGAAUUG